AACGAACGCUGGCUGCAGGCUUAACACAUGCAAGUCGAACGCCCCGCAAGGGGAGUGGCAGACGUUUGAGUAACUCGUGGGAACAUACCCUUUCCUGCGGAAUAGCUCCGGGAAACUGGAAUUAAUACCGCAUACGCCCUACGGGGGAAAGAUUUAUCGGGGAAGGAUUGGCCCGCGUUGGAUUAGCUAGUUGGUGGGGUAAAGGCCUACCAAGGCGAAGAUCCAUAGCUGUUCUGAGAGGAUGAUCAGCCACAUUGGGACUGAGACACGGCCCAAACUCCUACGGGAGGCAGCAGUGGGGAAUAUUGGACAAUGGGCGCAAGCCUGAUCCAGCCAUGCCGCGUGAGUGAUGAAGGCCUUAGGGUUGUAAAGCUCUUUCACCGAUGAAGAUAAUGACGGUAGUCGGAGAAGAAGCCCCGGCUAACUUCGUG
rnacentral:rRNA from 1 species